GCUCCGAAAUCAAGCUGAUGAACCGAGACGGGAUUGAGGCCACCUUUCAGAUGUUUGACGAUCUUGACGCCGUGCUUAUCGGCCUUUGUCAAGUAGACGAUGAAGGUGGAGAGCACGACGGAGAAGAGCGGCGCCACCGCCGGUCAAGAAAUGGAUGUUUUUUCAGACUAAUUGUGAUUAACUUACGAUGAAACGGGUGGCUAGGAUGAAGAUCAGAAACGAACAGCCGAGGACGAAGUUCAGUGGAUACCACUGUUGUUGCAUAAAAUAUUUUAACAAAUUUGUCAAUACAUAUGAAGUUAUUGAGAAAUAUAAAAGUUAUUAAUACUCCACAUAAAUUAUAAUAUAAGUACCGUUUUUUUAA